AUCCAGUUGACAAGUUCCAAAUAGGACGAAAUGCGCAUCCUGGCUAGAU
rnacentral:hammerhead_ribozyme from 1 species